UUUUUUGGAUCCCUCACGCCUUCCCUUUUGGUACAUUGUCUAAGGUUUUACCCUGGAUUUUCCUAUUGCGUUUUAGCUUCUCUUCACUCUCUUAUGCUUUUCAAAGGCCUUAUCUAUCUUCAAUCCUUAACCUUCACAUACGUUGUCAGAUUAUUUUCCUGCUACAGAAAAUUGCCACGUGUCAUAGCAUCCUUUCUGUUUUCUUAUUUUGAUAUGCACUUUGAUUUGUCUGGUUCUUUCACAUACGUCGUCAGAUUAUUUUCCUGCUACAGAAAAUUGCCACGUGUCAUAGCAUCUUUUCUGUUUACUUAUUUUAAU
rnacentral:lncRNA from 1 species